rnacentral:piRNA from 1 species
UGAACCAAUUCAUAGGGAACCUAGUGGUGA